rnacentral:tRNA from 15 species
GUGCCCGUAGCUCAAUUGGAUAGAGUAUUUGAUUCCGAUUCAAAAGGUUGCAGGUUCAAGUCCUGUCGGGUACGCCA